rnacentral:rRNA from 1 species
CGACCUGCAGGCGGCCGCGAAUUCACUAGUGAUUCGUAUUACCGCGGCUGCUGGCACGGAGUUAGCCGGAGCUUAUUCUCCCGAUACUGUCAUUAUCAUCUCGGGUAAAAGAGCUUUACAACCCUAAGGCCUUCAUCACUCACGCGGCAUUGCUGGAUCAGGCUUUCGCCCAUUGUCCAAUAUUCCCUACUGCUGCCUCCCGUAGGAGUCUGGGCCGUGUCUCAGUCCCAGUGUGGCUGAUCAUCCUCUCAGACCAGCUAAGGAUCGUCGGCUUGGUAGGCCUUUACCCCACCAACUACCUAAUCCUACGCGGGCUCAUCCCUGGCCGAUAAAUCUUUGGUCCGAAGACAUCAUCCGGUAUUAGCAGUCAUUUCUAACUGUUAUUCCGAAGCCAAGGGCAGAUUCCCACGCGUUACGCACCCGUGCGCCACUAACCCCGAAGGGUUCGUUCGACUUGCAUGUGUUAGGCAUGCCCCCAGCGUUCGUUCUGAGCCAGGAUCAAACUCUAAUCGAAUUCCCGCGGCCGCC